rnacentral:rRNA from 1 species
UUAUUAACGCUGAGGUGUGAUGACGAGGCACUACGGUGCUGAAGUAACAAAUGCCCUGCUUCCAGGAAAAGCCUCUAAGCAUCAGGUAACAUGAAAUCGUACCCCAAACCGACACAGGUGGUCAGGUAGAGAAUACCAAGGCGCUUGAGAGAACUCGGGUGAAGGAACUAGGCAAAAUGGUGCCGUAACUUCGGGAGAAGGCACGCUGAUAUGUAGGUGAAGCCCCUGCGGGUGGAGCUGAAAUCAGUCGAAGAUACCAGCUGGCUGCAACUGUUUAUUAAAAACACAGCACUGUGCAAACAUGAAAGUGGACGUAUACGGUGUGACGCCUGCCCGGUGCCGGAAGGUUAAUUGAUGGGGUUAGCGGUAACGCGAAGCUCUUGAUCGAAGCCCCGGUAAACGGCGGCCGUAACUAUAACGGUCCUAAGGUAGCGAAAUUCCUUGUCGGGUAAGUUCCGACCUGCACGAAUGGCGUAAUGAUGGCCAGGCUGUCUCCACCCGAGACUCAGUGAAAUUGAACUCGCUGUGAAGAUGCAGUGUACCCGCGGCAAGACGGAAAGACCCCGUGAACCUUUACUAUAGCUUGACACUGAACACUGGUCCUUGAUGUGUAGGAUAGGUGGGAGGCUUUGAAGCGUGGACGCCAGUCUGCGUGGAGUCGACCUUGAAAUACCACCCUUUAAUGGCUGGUGUUCUAACGUAGACCCGUGAUCCGGGUUGCGGACAGUGUCUGGUGGGUAGUUUGACUGGGGCGGUCUCCUCCCAAAGAGUAACGGAGGAGCACGAAGGUUAGCUAAUCCUGGUCGGACAUCAGGAGGUUAGUGCAAUGGCAUAAGCUAGCUUGACUGCGAGAGUGACGGCUCGAGCAGGUGCGAAAGCAGGUCAUAGUGAUCCGGUGGUUCUGAAUGGAAGGGCCAUCGCUCAACGGAUAAAAGGUACUCCGGGGAUAACAGGCUGAUACCGCCCAAGAGUUCAUAUCGACGGCGGUGUUUGGCACCUCGAUGUCGGCUCAUCACAUCCUGGGGCUGAAGUAGGUCCCAAGGGUAUGGCUGUUCGCCAUUUAAAGUGGUACGCGAGCUGGGUUUAGAACGUCGUGAGACAGUUCGGUCCCUAUCUGCCGUGGGCGCUGGAGAAUUGAGGGGGGCUGCUCCUAGUACGAGAGGACCGGAGUGGACGCAUCACUGGUGUUCGGGUUGUCAUGCCAAUGGCAUUGCCCGGUAGCUAAAUGCGGAAGAGAUAAGUGCUGAAAGCAUCUAAGCACGAAACUUGCCCCGAGAUGAGUUCUCCCUGACUCUUUGAGGGUCCUGAAGGAACGUUGAAGACUACGACGUUGAUAGGUCGGGUGUGUAAGCGUAGCGAUGCGUUGAGCUAACCGAUACUAAUGAACCGUGAGGCUUAACCUUACAACGCCGAAGCUGUU